CGGAGGCGGGGGGGGUCGGGGGGGGGGGAAGCCCCCCUCUCCCUUCCCCAUCACAGGCACCUACCUUCAUCUCCUCGUUGAUCUCCCGCUUCACCGGAUGGCAGAGUGAUUAGAGACACGGAGCGUAUUCUCCCCUGUGGCAUUGAAAAUGGGAAGAAACUGGGAUUUUGCACAGCCUUCGCCGUUAGAGCUAAGUGAUCAUCAAAAGAGUGGCAGGACCUCGCGGAGACCCUGGAGAAGGCUCUGCCGGCAGCAAGGAGCUACAGGAGACAAGCCGCAGAAGGGGUCGUGCCGUGGGCUCGGUCUGUUCUGCGCACACCAGGAACACAAGGUCUGCCCUCAGACUCACCAGCAGCGAGCAUGAGAAAGAACCGAGAUUUACAGAUAUAUUUUUUCUUGCCUGCAAUAUUUUAAAACACAGUGGAUUCUGAAACUUGGGGGAAACUAACUUGUGACUCUACGGGUAACUUCCAAAGCAUGGUGCUUAAUAGGGAGGUUUCCUGCCUUCUGUGCCCCACCACCACCACCAGCAACCUCAUCUCUAUGUUUUGUUCACCAUAUUUUAUUAAAAGCAAAUCGGUAUGGUUGAUCUCUCAUCAAGUACAGGAGAUAAUCCCAGAAUCUCAAUGCAUUUUCUCACCCAGUAGGAAUAAGACAGGCAAUGCAAGGGGAAGUUGCUUAUAAACACAAUCUCACGUAGCCUUCGAUCUCUUUGGAACCUUUGGCUGGAAAAAGCAAGCCAACCUCAGACAACUACUCUGCUUUGAAUUGCCACCACCUUGCUGAUACAUGAAGUCGUUCUAAUGAAAAAGGCAAAAUUAAUUCUUGCAUUAGGGACAUAUCACAAGUUUCUCUGUAGAGCUGAUAGCAAAGUUUUAAUGAAAAUAUUUAGAACUUCUGCUAAACAGACUAUUGCCUGAAAUGGUUCUUCAGUGAAACAUCUGAAGACUACUUCUCAACACUUACUAUACGUAUUGUAAUAAAUCUCUGUUUCUCUGCAUAAACGUAAUAGACUGAAUUGAUAAUCUGACAAAAAGAUGAAUCCCGAACUCCCAACAUAGAUGGAAUUUCUUUUAAUAUUGGAAGGGGCUUUGGAGAGGGUAUCUGCAAGCCCAAAUGGUGCAAGCUGUCUUCAGCAGGUUACAGCGAGAAGAACAAAAAGAACGUCUUCAGGAUCAAAUCUGUCAUUCCAGUUUUCCUGACUAACGGCUGAAGGUUUCGUUGUAAAUUGAAGCACUUCCCAUCCCUCUCGCUGCCAAUUCUGAACUCUGAUCCUCGCUUCUUGGUCAUCAAAAACAGUGGCUUUCAGUCAGGUUUUUUUUUCCAGUUGCACACUCCAAAUACUUUUGAAUGGAGAUGUGAACUUAUGCCUCCUGACAGUAGGCUCCCUUUUCUCAGCUAAUUCUGGUAAACUCCUUAAAAACAGCCUACAGUCCCCCAGAACCUCGUCAACCACCAGAUGAGAGCCAUGUUCUUAAAGCAUAUCCUGUUUUUCUCAGUACCUAAUACAGGCUUUGGAUGGAUACAAAAGUUCUACCUCUCUGUGUCCUAAUAAUAUCUCUUCAUCUGACAGCAGAUUAUGUCUGCAUCUGUCACGAUUCCUAUUUUUCUAGAGCUGUUAUUACCUUUACAUAUUGCAUAUUAUUAUACUACAUAUUCUUGGGAAGUUGUUCUUCUAGUGAUAGCAUAUGGAGGACCAUCAACUGUCAACACAGAAGUUCAUGCAUUUAGAGUGCUCAGACGUUAUCUGACACACAUUGUAGCUACUGAAAUAAGUUUUGGAAACUGUCUAAUUAUUCCACUUGUUACUGGGGAGCGAAUGACUAACAAAAAGGAACGCUUUCAGGUUUUAAUGGUAGCUCGUGAACUUGUAAGGGGAGGCAGAAUAUCAGAAUCUAUGGAAGCCAUGAAUUUGUCAGUCACACAAUGGCAUUGAUCUGAACGUCUCCAAAAAGUUACGAGAAAAUAAAUCUGGUAUUUACAUUGCAGAGACCCUAACAUUAAAUACAUUUACUGAACUGUGACAGCACAAAUUUCUUGUGUGAAAACCUGUAUUUUUCGUAAAGAAACCUGAUUCAGCAGUGCUCUAUACGGAUUCUGCAGACAUCUUAAAAAGUUGAAUACGGAUGCCUGAUUGGAUCAACAGGGCUGCUCGCAUUGGAUCAACAGGGCUGCUCGCAUUUAUUCUACUAGGUACUGGGGUACAUGGUAUCAGUAAGCCAUUUCCAGCCAAAGAUGAAAUCCUGGUCCUGUGGAAACAGUGAAGAUUUGAGUUUAAUGAGACCAAACUCCUUGAGAAAUUUCCGAAGUGAUUUUAAAUCAAUUUAUUAUACAGUGUGCAUUGGAAAGCAAGAACACCAUGUUCUAAAAGAUCAAAAAAAAGAAAAAAAAAAGAAAGCAGGGUUUUCAAAAUAUGUUUCCAUUCUCAUUCAAGCAAAAAUGAGAUUUUUCAAUCUGAGGGGAAAAAAAGUUUCAUACUCCUUAUUGUAACUCAUCUCGAAAAGGAGUAGGAGCUGCAUAUGAGGCUCCCCAUGAUGAGUGCAUGCUCUAACCACACUGCAACAGAGUAAGUCACUCCCUGUCUUGCCUGUCGAAGGGUUUGGGGUUGGGUUUUUUUCCUUUGCUCAUUGGUUAUUUUCAAAGUUGGGGAGAAAAAAGCCACAUGGUCCAUCUUUUGGUGGUUGCUAAGUCACCUGCAAGACUGAGGUUCAGGUCCCUGCUGUAUCUGAAUGACGGCAAGAACCUGAACUUUUCCUUCCAUUGCCCAAGCACAUGUUUUACACCUAAGGUGCUUUGCCAAGCUCCCUAUUUUUGUUCUAUCACAGUUUUGCAUUUCCAGCUCUGAAUUUGCGCUUGGAUUUCUGCAAGCACAGUAAUCUGGACCUCUGAAAAACAAAUAUUUUUCAUAAAAUAACAGGUGCAAAUGAGUUGCCUAAAAUAAAUCACCCCAGGUUUAAUUUAUAUUCUAUUAUUCAUAUUCCUAUUUAUUAGUAUUUACAUGUUUUAAAAGGGGGCCUAUCCACUUACUGGAGUUGCUUUCUAGAUAGCACAAAAGCAACACUUUGCUGUAAGUUCUUCAAUUUGGUCUUUAUUAAUGUGUAACUCUCUUUAAUAUUAUUAUUGAGCUAUUUCUUCUCAUUAUUGCCUACUGAAGAGGAUUAGAUAAACAAGCAGGCUUGAUUUUCCAGCUGGUAAUACGUAAGUGGGCACGAUGGCUUCAAAGCGAAAGGCUUUAAAAGGCAACGGUAUCAAACAAAUGGUACUCUGUGGGCACACUGAAAAUGAUGGGAUGGUUUUCCAGACCCAAAAUUGGGACAACUGGGGUAAUUACUGCAGAAGUUGUGCUACCCCGUGAGAGGUGGGAGGCGGGGGCUGAGGCCCUGCCACCCCCAGCCCUGGGGAGCAUCCCUGUCCACGAGCAUCCCUGUCCCGGGGAGCAUCCCUGUCCCGGGGAGCAUCCCUGUCCCGAAGCAUCCCUGUCCUGGGGAGCAUCCCUGUCCACGAGCAUCCCUGUCCAGAAGCAUCCCUGUCCCGAGAAGCAUCCCUGACCAUGAGCAUCCCUGCCCCGGGGAGCAUCCCUGUCCACGAGCAUCCCUGCCUCGGGGAGCAUCCCUGCCCGCCACAGCCCGGGUUGCCGCCGCGGCGGCUGCGGCGAGAGCUCCCCCUCCUGUUUCUCUCCUUCUCGGCACGGUGGGAAACGCAUCAUGGAACCUCGGAUACCCAAAUGUGUGCAAGUACAAGUCUGCGUGCCUUUAUGCACGUAUAAACACACAUGUACACCCACACAUGUAGGGAGAAAGCUGAAGGUAAUAAGGGAGGCUCUUGUGGGUUUUUUCCAAAUAACAGUCACAGAUGUUGCAGGCCAAAGUAAAGAUGCGGCUCUUAACUGGUUUCUUUUAAUAUUGACGAUAAUUUACCUUAUUGUUCCCUGCUUGCCAAGACGUUGUCAGCUCUCCAUCAGGUUGCUUAGUAAUGCCAGUCAAGGUGGGAAACAUAUGUCUACGCAGUCUUUCACAAGCUAAACUAUUCUCAUUUCACCUGUAUCCAAGGGGAAACCACAAUAAACAGCAAUUUAAAUUCAGGUAUUUGGU